rnacentral:rRNA from 1 species
AAACGGCGGCCGUAACAAUAACGGACCUAAGGUAGCGAAAUUCCUUGUCAGGUAAGUUCUGACCCGCACGAAAGGCGUAACGAUUUGGGCACUGUCUCAACGAGAGGCUCGGUGAAAUCAUAGUACCUGUGAAGAUGCAGGUUACCCGCGACAGGACGGAAAGACCCCGUGGAGCUUUACUGUAGCCUGAUAUUGAAUCUUGACCUCACCUGUACAGGAUAGGUGGGAGCCAUUGAAGUGUGGACGCCAGUCUACAUGGAGGCACUGGUGGGAUACCACCCUGGUGAUGUUGAGAUUCUAACCCGCGCCCGUGAUCCGGGCGGGAGACAGUGUCAGGUGGACAGUUUGACUGGGGCGGUCGCCUCCUAAAGAGUAACGGAGGCGCUCAAAGGUUCCCUCAGAAUGGUUGGAAAUCAUUCAUAGAGUGUAAAGGUAUAAGGGAGCUUGACUGCGAGACAUACAGGUCGAGCAGGGUCGAAAGACGGACUUAGUGAUCCGGUGGUUCCGCAUGGAAGGGCCAUCGCUCAACG